CACAGGACAAUCUAAUUGUGAAACAUUUACAGUUGAAACAUCCAUAUUAUGGAAAAUAGUAUUAUUUUGUCAAGCAUUUUUUCAGCGAAUAAAAAUUUGGCAAACACCAACAAACCGGUGAAACCAAAAGAUCAAUGGCCACAAAGCCAUGGUUGUGCAAAAAAGCAGCAGGAAAACAGUAUGGCCAGGUGAUGAGGAAGUAGAAAAAAAACCAUGUCCUCCAAUAUUUGUAAGUAGUGUUGACACUUGUGUAGUUAUUAUGUGCAACUUGGGCAUUUGCUGUGUUAGUGGUGAUGUGUGCAGGGUCAAUUUACCACACCAGGGUCCGCUGUGAAUAUGACUGUUGUCCAAGAUCGAGAUGGGUCACUAUCUUUUUGACAUAUUGGGAGGAUUUCUGCUUUGAUGUAUCAACAAUGAACUAAGAAAGAUCAUAGCACUUAAUGGAAAGCAUUCAACCAUGAUUGCUUUAAUAUGCACAGAGGAAAAAAUAUGGCAUGACGUAAGGAUUGCUUUGACAGUCGAAUUCUGAUUGUUAAUUGUCCUUAUUUCAUUUAACAUUUAGAGUUCACCAACAGCGUCUCUCACUCCAAUCCAUUUGCAUUGGAGCCAUGUGGUGCAGUGACCAAGUGGAUCCAGCAGAUAGUGCUGCACCUACAGGGCUGGAGUGGAAGACUAAUGCGUACUUGUGUGACGCGUUCACGAGAGUGAGGAGACCGCUGGGGUUGAUGAUGAGUUUGUCGAGGAAACAGAGCACAUUGUUGAACCGUGGGCGCUGACUCGGCUCCUUCUGCCAGCAGUGUAACAUCAGCUGGUGCAGCGUCACCGGGCAGCCCGUUGGAGCAGUACGGCCUCUCGCCAUAUGACAUCACCUCCCACAUGACGAUGCCAAAACUCCAGACAUCGCUGACUGAGGAGAACUUUCCAUAAGCAAUUGCCUCUGGUGCUGUCCAGCGUAUCGUCAGAAACCUUACACACCAAGUUUUCAUCGACCAGAAUGUUGCGAGCCGCCAGGUCUCUGUGAACGUAACCCAUGUCUGAGAGGUAGGCCAUGCCCACUGCGAUGCCGCGCAUCAUCCCCACGAGCU